GGAGGAGGCAGAAAUGGUCUUCAUGGCAAGCUUCUGACCACAGGGGCUUGCUCUCCUGGUAGAUGUCACAAGGGUGCCUCCAGAGAAGAAGAUCCUUGCCUAUUUUAUUCCAUUUUCUUACACCUUUCAUUACCCAGACCCCACAGGAGUAUGAGAUUACUGCGACAUCCCUCUCAGCUCAGCUAUUUCCGAGGUGCAUGUUACCUCAGGUCCACAUUUCACGGAGCCAUCCCAGGAGCAGAAACACCACCGAAGAUGCCAUGGAGGGAACACUCAAAUAGAAACUGUUUCCUACAACUUUGUUCCCAACAUUCUCAUGUCACUUUCUUCUCGGAGCCCCGCAAGUAUCCCUGGAUCCUUUCGCCCUCUCCAGCUCCCUCCUGCUACGAAACCACCCCCUUUUUUACACCCCUUUACCCCAUGGGUUAGGCAAACAGAAGCUGAUUCACAACAGGCAUGUUGAUUCCCUUGCCAGUGGGGUGAGAGGCUGUUUCACCGGCCUUUCCACCUCCUCAUGUGAAAAAUGAGUUAUGAUACGGAGUUCACAUGCUCUGAGGCUGUUUGCUGCUGGGUCACCUGUGGUUAGCAAAUGGAUUCAGAAGUUAUUCAGGGGUGAGCCCUCAAAGGCAGAGACGGUCAGAGAGGGGCAGGCGGGGGGAAUGCCUAAUCUCUGAUUUCCUUAGGAAACCAGUUUAAAGGUGACUUUGCAUCUACGUAAGUACUUUGGUUUUCCAAAGAGCUAUGUUCCUGGGAGACUUUGGCCCAAGGUGCUAAAAAAUGCUGACCUCUGCAACCAACCAGAAAGAAGAUACUGGAAGUCCUGGGGUAUCACCACCUGCCUUUGCCCUUAAUUAUGUAUUUUACAUCACCUAUUCCUUGAUACAGGGUCAUUAAGAGUAAAGGAAAUCUGGAGAAAGUGCUCAUUUACAUUAAUGCAGACUUCUCACACUGUAGUUUGGCUACUUGAUGUGUGUCAUGUUUAGAUAUCUCACAGGACUCUUUAGAGGCUCAGUAAGCAUUAGCUACGAAUUCCAUUUCAGCUUCUUUCCCCGCCACAGUGGAGCUGGCAAGAGAAAACUACCAGUUGGAGGAAACUGGAUAAAUGAGCAGCACAAAAGCAACCCAACACAUGCAGCAGAGGAGCCUGAAGUCUGUUUGCUCUGAGAAUUUUAAAUGUGGCAACACUGACAGCAUUAAGCGGGGUUUAACACCUCAUGACCUUGCAUACAGCCAUGCAGACACCGCCUACCCCGAGAGCCUGCAGACCACAGUUACCCCGUCAACCCCUCAUCAGGAGACACAGGACCCCAUCCUCAGGACACACCUGGGACUGCUUCACGAUGGCAGAGCCUUUCACAGCUCAUCCUACACAUUCCAUACGUGCAACAUGCACGCGCACACACAUACCAACUCCCUUCCCACUGAAGCAAGCGGGGCCCUUGAGCCCUAAGAGCUCCGGGUGAGCUGAUGCAGUGCUGGCAUGGGUGACCUCCAGCCAAACAGACUGCUGGUGGCAGGGAGGAGGAAUUCACAGCAGGACACCCUUCUCUCCCACUUAACUGUAGUUGAUCCAAGGACAUUUGCAGCAGAAAGGUGCGCCCGGCAUAGGAAUGUUUGUGCUUGCAAGGAAUUACAGUUAUUUUCUAAUUCUGGAAGAAUUUGUGAAGAGCCAGCACAUAAAGCGCCACCUCACUCCUGGUAUGCUAGCUUCAGACUAAUGCCUCCUUCAGGAAGCAAAAUGACAAUUGCUUCUGGGAUAUACUGGCAGAGCCUAACUGGCGUAAUUAAUACCAGCCAGCACACUUUAUGGAAUAAACAUUUUAUUUCAAUGAGAUUACUGCGUUGACUUGAUACACUUAAAUUUUCCAAGGUGUUUUACCUUGCAGUCUGUUGUAAGAUCUUGCAUUAUGGAAGUUUUAAUAGGAUAGACAUGUUAUGAAUAAACACUCUCCCCAGUGACAGGUCUUCCGAGUUCUGUGGUUGCUAAUGAGAUCAUGAGAAAUGUGUGGGUCUGUUUUACCAACACCCCCAAGAUGCAGUCCUUGCUGCAAUACUGUUUCGUUUGACUGCCCGCUAUCUAGACAACAAUGCCAAACCUCUGCAGGCAAACUCAGCGGAUGACUCACAGGCUAUAGGGUAGUAAAACCUAAGGAGGAUGGGUCAUCCUUACAGAAUGAUCUGAAAUGUCUGGUUAAUUGUCACAAGACAACAAAAAUGCAUUUUUGUAGAAGUAAAAACUGGGUACUGUCUCUGGGGAGAGAGCGUUAAGUCAUACCAUCAGGGUGGGACGCUGACCUGUGCCUCCUUAUAGAUAAUCUGUGUCUGUCGCCACUCCAAGGAGCUUGAAAGACAAAGAUAAGCAAAGCAGGCUCGUUAGUAACGGAGAGCUACCUAAAAAAGGUGCUGAGGGAGAAUGGGAGCCACUGUGACUGAGACAAAGCUCAGCCCAGACACUGACACAUGGAAAAGGCGUCAGAUGCCAGCCGAAGCGGCAGACAGUGGAAACUAGGCAAUUCUUAAAAUACAGGCUCUAAGUCUGUGUGUUGCCAGCUAUAAAUACUGGCCUAUUUUACCCUGGAAUUCUGAAAAACCCCACAAAUAUCCUUUCUCCCCCGUUCUUCUCCCAGUUUUUCAACAAGCUUUUAGUGCUUGAGUUCAGGUAGGGGAAGCAGAGAGGACAUUAACACCAGCCAGGACUUGAUGCUGAGAAGAAACAUGCCCUCAUUACACUUUGAAAGGU